rnacentral:rRNA from 1 species
CGCCUGGGGAGUGCGGCCGCAAGGUUAAAACUCAAAUGAAUUGACGGGGGCCCGCACAAGCGGUGGAGCAUGUGGUUUAAUUCGACGCAACGCGAAGAACCUUACCUGGCCUUGACAUGCAGAGAACUUUCUAGAGAUGGAUUGGUGCCUUCGGGAACUCUGACACAGGUGCUGCAUGGCCGUCGUCAGCUCGUGUCGUGAGAUGUUGGGUUAAGUCCCGUAACGAGCGCAACCCCUAUCCCUAGUUGCUAGCAGUUCGGCUGAGAACUCUAGGGAGACUGCCGGUGACAAACCGGAGGAAGGUGGGGAUGACGUCAGGUCAUCAUGGCCCUUACGGCCAGGGCUACACACGUGCUACAAUGGUGCGCACAGAGGGCUGCAAACCCGCGAGGGGGAGCCAAUCUCACAAAACGCAUCGUAGUCCGGAUCGCAGUCUGCAACUCGACUGCGUGAAGUCGGAAUCGCUAGUAAUCGUGAAUCAGAACGUCACGGUGAAUACGUUCCCGGGCCUUGUACACACCGCCCGUCACACCAUGGGAGUGGAUUGCACCAGAAGUGGUUAGUCUAACCUUCGGGAGGACGAUCACCACGGUGUGGUUCAUGACUGGGGUGAAGUCGUAACAAGGUAACCGUA